rnacentral:rRNA from 1 species
UACGAAGGGGGCUAGCGUUGCUCGGAUUGACUGGGCGUAAAGGGCGCGUAGGCGGCUUGGUAAGUCAAAGGUGAAAUCCCUCGGCUCAACUGAGGAAUUGCCUUUGAAACUGCCUGGCUUGAGGCCGGGAGGGGGUAGCGGAAUUCCCAGUGUAGCGGUGAAAUGCGUAGAUAUCAGGAGGAACACCGGCGGUGUAGACGGCUUUCUGGACCGUAGCUGACGCUGAGACACGAAAGCGUGGGUAGCAAACAGG